ensembl:scaRNA small Cajal body-specific RNA 20
GUUCUUUUCCCAUGGGAGUAGGGGGCCUGUUCUCUUUUCAGGCCUGGAGGCCAAGGUCAGCCUUUGACAGUCAUUGCCAGGACCACUACAGAUGGGCAGCUUUCUCUUCCUAACUCAGACAUUU